UACGGAGGGUGCAAGCGUUGUCCGGAAUCACUGGGCGUAAAGGGCGCGUAGGCGGCUCAUGAAGGCUGUGGUGAAAGUCCGGGGCUCAACCUCGGAUCGGCCGUGGCGACUCGUGGGCUGGAGCACUGUAGAGGCGGGUGGAAUUCCGGGUGUAGCGGUGGAAUGCGUAGAGAUCCGGAAGAACACCAGUGGCGAAGGCGGCCCGCUGGGCAGUGGCUGACGCUGAGGCGCGACAGCGUGGGGGAGCAACAGG
rnacentral:rRNA from 1 species